rnacentral:tRNA from 1 species
GCCCCCAUCGUCUAGAGGCCCAGGACGCGGCCCUCUCAAGGCCGAAACUGGGGUUCGAAUCCCCAUGGGGGCA